rnacentral:rRNA from 1 species
AAUAUUAGUUAAGGACUUUAAACCCAAAGAAUUUGGCGGUAUCUUAUUCCAUUCAGAGGAACCUACCCCGUAAUUGAUAAUACACGAUUAACUUUACUUAAUUUAUUUGUUUGUAUAUCUCCGUUAUCAGAAGAUCUUUUUAGAGUGAAAAUUUUCUAAAUUUGUAAUUAUGAAAUAUUUCAGGUCAAGGUGCAGCUUAUGGUUAAGAGGAGGUGGGUUACAAUAAAUUUAAUUUAAACGGAUUUGAUAGUGAAAAUUAUUAAUGAAGGUGGAUUUGAUAGUAAUUUGAUUUAUUUAAUUUAAUUGAUAUUGGCUCUAAGAUGUGU